ensembl:snoRNA small nucleolar RNA SNORD35
UACAAAUGAUGUUUUCUCACGAUGGUCUUCCUAGCCUUUUUGGUUUUGACGAUAACGCCUUAUGGCAUUGCUGAUGUAGACCU